CCUACGGGAGGCAGCAGUGGGGAAUUUUGGACAAUGGGCGCAAGCCUGAUCCAGCAAUGCCGCGUGAGUGAAGAAGGCCUCCGGGUUGUAAAGCUCUUUUGUCAGGGAAGAAACGGCCGAGGCUAAUACCUUUGGCUAAUGACGGUACCUGAAGAAUAAGCACCGGCUAACUACGUGCCAGCAGCCGCGGUAAUACGUAGGGUGCAAGCGUUAAUCGGAAUUACUGGGCGUAAAGCGUGCGCAGGCGGUUUUGUAAGUCUGACGUGAAAUCCCCGGGCUCAACCUGGGAAUUGCGUUGGAGACUGCAAGGCUGGAGUCUGGCAGAGGGGGGUAGAAUUCCACGUGUAGCAGUGAAAUGCGUAGAGAUGUGGAGGAACACCGAUGGCGAAGGCAGCCCCCUGGGUCAAGACUGACGCUCAUGCACGAAAGCGUGGGGAGCAAACAGGAUUAGAUACCCUGGUAGUCCACGCCCUAAACGAUGUCUACUAGUUGUCGGGUUCUUAAUUGACUUGGUAACGCAGCUAACGCGUGAAGUAGACCGCCUGGGGAGUCGGUCGCAAGAUUAAAACUCAAAGGAAUUGACGGCGNGAGACGUAGCCGAGGACGACGACGAGGGAGGAGG
rnacentral:rRNA from 1 species